UACGGGGGGGGCAAGCGUUGUUCGGAUUACUGGGCGUAAAGGGCGCGUAGGCGGCUACGCGCACAAGUCAGUUGUGAAAUCUCCGGGCUUAACUCGGAAAGGUCAACUGAUACUGUGCGACUAGAGUGCAGAAGGGGCAACUGGAAUUCUCGGUGUAGCGGUGAAAUGCGUAGAUAUCGAGAGGAACACCUGCGGCGAAGGCGGGUUGCUGGGCUGACACUGACGCUGAUGCGCGAAAGCCAGGGGAGCGAACGGG
rnacentral:rRNA from 1 species